AGGUUAUGAAGAUGUUGAUUGUUGUUGUCGCUUUAUUUGCUCUCUGUUGGCUUCCAUUGCAAACUUAUAACCUACUUAAGGACACAAUACCAGAGAUUAAUACAUUUCGUUACAUUAAUGUCAUUUGGUUUUGCUGUCAUUGGUUAGCUAUGAGCAAUUCAUCUGUUAAUCCUUUCAUCUACGCUAUUUACAAGAUUUCAUCUGAUUCAUCGCGCCAAGAAUAACUUGUCUACAAUUGAAGAGUCAUCAUGUCCGUCCUUGACUUGGAAUUGAUUAAAAUUGAUAAUAAUUCUUACUUGUUAAAUAAGCCAAUUUGUACAGUUAAAUAUUCAACAAAAGCAUUAAAACAAGAAAAUUGCUGAUAAUUAUUAU